rnacentral:ncRNA from 1 species
GAGGGUUUAUAAGUUCCGCACAUAGCCCUUUAUCAGGAGAGAGGAGUUUGAUUCUUGUUCUCUUUUAUUGCUUAAUUUUAGUUAAUAUAUAUAUAUUUUUAAUUUAAUAUUGAUUAUGUAAUUUAUUUAAUUGCACUAUGUGGGAGAUCACGAUGCAGCUAAUUUUUAAUUAGAACUAACUAAUCUUGUGCCAGCAGUUGCGGUUAUACAAUUAGUUCAAGUAAUAAUUUUUGGGUGAGUAUUAUAUUUUAUUUGUGUUGGAUUGAUUUUUUAAUUAUUGGGUGGAAUCAUUAAUUAAUUGUUAUUUCUAGGGCUAUAAUUAUACGAAGACUAUUUUUUAAACUAGGAUUAGAUACCCUAUUAUUGUAGUUGUUAUUUUUACCUUUAAGAUUAAUAGUAGAUCUUUAAAUUAAAAGAAUUUGGCGGUAAUUUAAUCCUAUCAGAGGAACCUGUUUCUUAAUUGAUAUGCCACGAGGUAUUUUACUUUUGAUUUGCUUGUAUACCUCUAUUUAUUGAAUAUCCUAAUAGGGUUAUUUUCUUAAUUCAUUUUAUGUAAUAUUUUAGGUCAAGGUGCAGCAGUGCAGAAGGUGAUGAUGGGUUACAGUUUUUGUAUAAUUGGGUUGGUCCUUGGAAGGGGGCCAUUAAAGAGGAUUUGGAAGUAAUGGUUACUAUCUUGUAGUCGUGACUGAGGCUCUAAUUUAUGCACAUAUCGCCCGUCGCUCUCGUUUAUUAAGAUGAGAUAAGUCGUAACAAAGUAGACUUACCGGAAGGUGAGUCUGGUUAUU